GUCAGGAUGGCCGAGCAGUCUAAGGCGCCAGACUCAAGGACAUAUUCCUUGAUUCAAUAUAGAGAAGUUGCAGUGUUCUGGUCUUUAAUGAAGGCGUGGGUUCAAAUCCCACUCCUGACA
rfam:Daphnia pulex DAPPTscaffold_334_Cont8819, whole genome shotgun sequence.